rnacentral:rRNA from 1 species
GCGAGGCCACCCCCGA